AUACUAACCUUGCGUAGGGUGUACAGUGAUCAGGAAGGCGGUUGCCCCGGGCUGGUCCCGGCCAUUGCACUGAGGGUUGGAAGUGGCCAGUCUGUGACUAUUCCUAAUUGGAAUACGUCGUGCGCACAAUUUUUGGUAGUUGGACUAGCGUUCUGCGCGGUCCAU